CAUAAAACUCUUCCUGGUCCUCUGUAUCAAGAUUAGAAUAACUACAUGAGAUGGUAGUAGAUAAUCCAAACAAUCCAAAACUCGGAGCCGAAACUUCUGCGCGUAAGAGUAAUUAUCCCUUUCGGCAGUGAUGAAGUACUGCUGCCCAGCUCAAUACGCCGGCCCGAAAUUGAUCGAUCUCCAUUCGAUGCACUUCGAUGCGGUAAACCCAUUUUUAUCUGUAUGAAGCUUCGUUUACGUUUUCCAAUAUCCAAUAUAUCUCCCUCCCAAGAAAAGAUCACCUCCCGGGCUGUUGGACGUUUGAUAGUAUCUUCCGUAAUUAUUUCUGCCUAGCAAGUAUUGAACUUUUUCCUUCGCUUUCACGCCUGGAGUUCUCAAAACGAAAAAAAAAACAACAACAAGCCCUUCCUUUGAAUGCACUUUCGGAGAUUUGGCUUUCUCCUACAGCACGGGGGGGCAUCAGCUAGCCAAGAAUGCCGGAUUCCGUACGUAAGAUUGAUGGAUUUCUAGCAUCCCUAAUGCCCUUGGCAUCAUCAUUUUCCAGUUGAGCGUCUGAGCGUGCGUGUGAGUCUUGAUUUUUGUUCCCCGGCACCAUACAUUCUUAACCAGUGCAGCUCAAGAACGCACUUGCCCCUGUAAUCGGUGCAAGUGGAUGAGGCACAUACUUUCCCGUGGAUGAGUAGUGGAAAAAAACGAGUUAAUGUGCACAACGAUCAUUGCCUUGUUGGUGUAGGGAAUGUAGCCAUGGCUUAGCAGACGAUCCAGAAUGUUGUGCACCUUUUAAAGAUCAAGCAGUCAGCCAGACAUAAACUCCAACAAAAAAAACACACACACACGCACGUAAACGAAUCAACUGUCCAAAAGCUCGUUGACCUUCCCGUGCCUUCACAAGGCGGUGAGAGCCCUCGGUGAGUCCCGAAAACGAAGAUUCAGGAAAUAAUUAAACACGAUUAUUGUGCGUUAAUGAAAGAAAUUGGACAAAAUGCGCCGUAACCGUAGCGCGCCGUAUGCAUACGCACUGCCAGUGCUGCACUGCUCCAGUGGAAACUCCGGUGAGGCCCGUGCAGGUAAUGCGCAUCGCGAGAAGGAUGAACCGAAAGCGCACCAGCGCAAAACAUAACGAACAAAAAUAAAAGAACGGUGAGAUGCAUCGGGCCGCUUUUGUGCCGCUGCGUAGAAAAUCGUGCAUCGGCCAGAAGAAGUGUUGAGCUUGGACAAUGGGACCAAAAGCAUGGAAUGAGGGUGGGAGCUAAUGGCGGAGGGGAAGGUAAUUAUGCGCCUCAGUGGUCAGUUAAACGGGCUAGAUGGACGGACGGAUUGAUGGAAAAGGAUGGAACAGAUUUUCCAUUCGACACUGUACCGAACAGCCGACCCGUCUUCAAUUGGCUGCUUCCUUCAACGGCUGCUGUGAAUGCUCAUUGUGAUCCUUCUUGAUUGGAUUUUGGGUUCGACGCUCAGACGCAUCAUUGUACGCGCUGCAGUUGCAGCCCAGAAUGGAGAAGUGUUUGAAAUCGUUUGUAAAUAAAGUCAGCUCCAUAACACUCCUUUCAAAGGUACAAAAUUUCUC